rnacentral:lncRNA from 12 species
GCUGACAGCAUCAGCACCCACAUUUCCACUGAGAAGGGGCAAAAACCCAAGUGGUGUGACUCCAGGACACCAGCAAAGACCAGCAAGCAAGCUGUGACCCAGCUACAAGGGUGCAGUGCAAGGAGGCAGUGGAAGAUUGUGCAGCACCUGCAAGGACCUAGUCCCCUUCUGUGUGGGAUGUGUUAGCAGCUGAAGAGCUGAGCUCCUGCUUUUCUUUAUGUGCUCUCCUGACUCAGCCAAUCUCUGUUACAAGCACAGCUGCACUCAAGAGAAGAAUAUUUUAUAAAGAGAGUUCAAACUGGCUCUUCU